GUCAAGCUGACGAGUCCCAAAUAGGACGAAACGUGCGUCCUUGUU
rnacentral:hammerhead_ribozyme from 1 species